AUGCAGGAACGCUCAUAGGUCUACAACAAAGACAAAGGGAACUUGUUAAAUAGACAGGGAAAAAGACAUACCAAGUCCCAAGUCUGUGCUUAGACUGGACAUAUAUCCGUAGGUAAAAAUUCUAGCAAAAUGCCAAUCAAAUUCAAAGUCAACCCAUCAGGAGUUGUUUCUAACCGUCCAAAAUGCAUGGGAACUCAUCUCUAAAGAAUCUAAAAUAGUUCUCAGAUGACAACAAUCAUCUUCAGAACAUUCUGUAGCUAUGUUGUAAUAAACUAGAAGAUAGGAAAAAUCCAUUGUCUUGCUAUUAUAAGACAGGAAAUCCAGCACACAUAUACCUGCCCUGUUGAAACAAU
rnacentral:misc_RNA from 1 species